rnacentral:rRNA from 1 species
AACGUAGGUGGCGAGCGUUAUCCGGAUUUACUGGGCGUAAAGGGUGUGCAGGCGGGUGAACAAGUGGGGUAUGAAAGGUUUCGGCUCAACCGAGAUAGGUUAUGCCAGACUGUUUACCUAGAGUGUGAGAGAGGGACGUGGAAUUCCCGGUGUAGAGGUGAAAUUCGUAGAUAUCGGGAGGAACACCGGUGGCGAAGGCGGCGAUCUGGGUCGAUACUGACGCUGAGGUGCGAAAGCGUGGGGAGCAAACAGG